rnacentral:rRNA from 1 species
AACGCGAAGAACCUUACCUGGUCUUGACAUCCCAGGAACCCUGUAGAGAUACGGUGUCCUUCGGGGUCCUAAACAGGUGGUGCAUGGCUGUCGUCAGCUCGUGUCGUGAGAUGUUGGGUUAAGUCCCGCAACGAGCGCAACCCUUGUCCUAUGUUGCCAGCGGGUAAUGCCGGGGACUCGUAGGAGACUGCCGGGGUCAACUCGGAGGAAGGUGGGGAUGACGUCAAGUCAUCAUGCCCCUUACGUCCAGGGCUGCACACAUGCUACAAUGGCCGGUACAACGGGCUGCUAUCCCGCGAGGGGGAGCCAAUCCCAAAAGCCGGUCUCAGUUCGGAUUGGAGUCUGCAACUCGACUCCAUGAAGUCGGAGUCGCUAGUAAUCCCGGAUCAGCAACGCCGGGGUGAAUACGUUCCCGGGCCUUGUACACACCGCAUAC